UCGAACGAAGUAGCAAUACUUAGUGGCAGACGGGUGAGUAACAUGUGGGUAUCUACCCUUUGGCCUGGAAUAACACGAGGAAACUUGUGCUAAUACCGGAUAAGUCUUUACGGAGAAAGCUUUAUGCACCAUUGGAUGAGCCCGCACUUGAUUAGUUUGUUGGUAGGGUAAUGGCCUACCAAGACUAUGAUCAAUAGCUGAUUUGAGAGGAUGAUCAGCCACAUUGGGACUGAGACACGGCCCAAACUCC
rnacentral:rRNA from 1 species